rnacentral:rRNA from 1 species
GACGAACGCUGGCGGCGUGCUUAACACAUGCAAGUCGAACGAUGAAGCCUAGCUUGCUGGGUGGAUUAGUGGCGAACGGGUGAGUAACACGUGAGUAACCUGCCCCUUACUCUGGGAUAAGCGCUGGAAACGGCGUCUAAUACUGGAUAUUACCUUUCAUCGCAUGGUGUUUGGUGGAAAGAUUUUUCGGUUUGGGAUGGACUCGCGGCCUAUCAGCUUGAUGGUGAGGUAGUGGCUCACCAUGGCGACGACGGGUAGCCGGCCUGAGAGGGUGACCGGCCACACUGGGACUGAGACAAGGCCCAGACUCCUACGGGAGGCAGCAGUGGGGAAUAUUGCACAAUGGGCGCAAGCCUGAUGCAGCAACGCCGCGUGAGGGAUGACGGCCUUCGGGUUGUAAACCUCUUUUAGUAGGGAAGAAGCGUAAGUGACGGUACCUACAGAAAAAGCACCGGCUAACUACGUG